CUCAUCCCUUCCCCGAAUAAGAAAUUGGGUAAGAAAUUAUCCACAUAUCCUCUCCAAAUGGGGAAAAUUCCCGAGGGUACCCAUCCCCGUGGUAAUUUUUGCCAUCCCUACUAACGAUGCACUGCCACGAUCUAGGAGUUGUGUCAAAUCAACGCUGCAAAGACGAAGAAUGAAAAUAAGAUUGGCACUGCAAAGAAAAAAGAAGAGAAAAUGAAAAAUAAUGAAGGAAAAAAUUGUAGAAGAAGAGACAACGAAAAUAUAAAAAGAAAAAGAAGAAGAUAAAUAAAAAAGAGAAACAAAAUUGAAAUUAUUGAUUUUGACUUAGUCACUUUAACCUUUGAGUGUUAGAUUUAACUGUGAAAUUGACGAAAAUGGAGCAUAGUGCUCAAGGUAAAAAAAUAAGGGGAGCUCAGUGUAAAAUGUCAAAACAUCUUGGGGCUGACGCUAAAUUACCUUCUUUUUUUUUUCUAGAAACACAACGUUUCGCGGGCCACACAGCCCGUGGCACAGUUUCAAUUACAAAUGAAAUGUUAUUUUCUUCUAGAAGCGAGUCGCUGUGAGCUAAGCAGCAAAGUUUGACCUUCUUAUCAACGACGUUUACAGGGUUUUUAAUUAUUUUUUUUUAAAAAAAAACUUGAGAAUUUUAAGAACCGCACAAACUAAAAGUAGCCUCAUCUAGUAAGAGUAAAUUAUUCAAUAUAUAUCCACUAAUUUUUGUAAUGGGUGUUGGGGGAGAGAGUUAUCAUCAAAAGCAAUCAUGUCUCACACGAGUCAUUAUUCAAUAAUUUCGGUCAACUAGACUCGCUUUAACUUUCUCGCUGAUCAUGAAUUAUGAUGAUAGUGAUAAUUAUUAGUCAGUGACACGUGUGUACGCACCGCACAUUAUUUAAUCCGAAGUUAAUUAACUCCGUUAGGUCUGCGCAUUAAACAUUUUUCAGUUUUAGUGGUCAUAAAAAGGUUUUUUUUUUAUUAUUUAACUAAAUUUCAAUCAAUUAACUAAUAAAGAAAAUUUAUUUUUUAUUUUUAAUAAAAUUUUUCAGUCUUUAAAUUAUUAAGUUGUUAAAGUGAUUUUUUUAACUUUUUGAUUAAUCUAAAAAAUGUAAAUGAUAUCACUAAAGAUAUUUGUCAAAGCAUCUCUAUCUAAUUAAUUAAUUUUUAUUCUCACCUAAAUAAAAUUUAAUAAUUAACAUUAUAACUCAUCUCUAUAACCUGUGAUAAUAUAAUAGUAGACUGUUAUUAUUUUUAUCUUUUUAUUUUCUUCAUAUUAGCAUUAUUUAUCCUCAUAAUUUUUAUCAAUAUUUUUCAUAUAAAAAAUCAUAAACUACAGUAAAAUUGAUAAAUAUAUACUAAUUUAGAAUAUAAAUGAUUCUAUUCAAUUGAACAAAAUUUAUAUUAUUAUAAUAUAUUAUCUUAUUUAUAUUUUUUGAUAUGUUUAUUAUUUGUGUAACAUUCACAAUUUCAAAGGGCAUAAAUGUAAAAAUACUAGUUUUCAAAAUUUUAAGUUAAAAAAAACAACUUAAAUUUAUUUUAACAAUUCAAAUUAAAAAAAAAAUAUCAUUCAAAUUCAAACAUUUAGUUCUAUUAAGAAUUUAGACCAAUUUAGAUUUAUUCAGAUUUCAAAUAAAUUAAAAAACACCACCUAAGUUACAUGUAACUCAAGAGUGUAUCAAAAAUUCAAGUACUACUUUUGACUAGUUUGGUAAUGUUCUACCCUUUAAAAUAAUUGUUCUUAUUUUUAUUGUAGAAAUAAUCAGUUGUAACGAGAAUCAAUUAGGCGUUUAGUAAAAUUUAUUUUAAAAAAUACUAUGAGUUUUAAAAGUAGCCAUAUGUGUUUGGUAAAUUUUAGGUUAAAUUGCUGUAAAAAUAUAAAUAAUUAAAUUGGACAUAGUAUUGAAUAAGAUUUAUUUACAUAUUUUUAAAUAUAUGUCUAAAAUAUUUUUUUCAUGUAUAUAUAAUAAUUGAUAACUGAAAUAAAUAUCUUAUAUUAUUAAUUUUAUUCUUUAUUUUGUUAUCUAAAGAUAAUUAACGACGACAACGACGAUAAUAAUAAUAAUAACUUUUAAAAGCUAAUGAUUUUAUUUCAUAAUUAAUUAACAAGGAUACUUUUGGAUUCUUACAACAUAUUAUAUAUAUACAUAGCUUUUCAAAAUCUACUGCAUGGUGCAGUGGCUUUGCUAGAAUUAAUUGCUAAACAUAUUUAUAAAAUACUAAAAUUAAUUUUUAUUUUUUUAAAACCAUUUUUGAACAUCAAAAAAUUAAUUCUAAAUGGAAUCUUAGUUGUUAAUAUGUCUUAAUUAACGUAUUAGAUAUAUCAUUUGUGUUAGAUAUAAAUCACAUAUAACACUUAAUAACAAUAUAUUCAUUUCAUUUAUAAGAUUUAAUUGAUAUAAUACUUACCAAAUAUCAAAAUUAACUUUUGUCCUUUCAAAAUCACUUUUAAACAUCUAAAAAAUAAUUCUAAGUGGAUCCUUAGUUGUUAAUAUGUCUUAACUUGUUAUGCAUAUCUUUUGCGUUAGAUAUGCAUUACAUAUAACACUUCAUAACAUUAUAAUCAGAUUGAUUUGUAAAAUUAAAUUAAAUUAAUCUGAUAAAUUAGCCUGAGGUUUUAACUCUAUUCCUUUUUAUGAUAGUAAUAACUAUGAAAAAGCGAUACAUGUGUAUGCACCAGCACCACACAUUUUUCAGUUUGAUUUGAGAGGCCAUAAUUUUUUCCUGGCCUCAUCUUCACCUAACAAGGAGAAUUUUUUUCACCUUUUUUAGUUAAUUUACGAAUUAAAAAGAAAAAAAGACACACUUGAAGAGGAAAAAUCGUAGGAGAGUUUUUUUAUUUUGACAGAACUUCAUGAUUUCAUUAAAGAGAGGACCAGGAAAGCCGUUGUACCGUACAUGAGAAAUUUCUACUGGGAGCAUCCUGCAGAUGUACAGCCGUAACACCAAGUUUAUUGUCAGCUGAGAGAGCCAAUUCACUGCAUUACAAGCUUGGAAUGAUUUGCUGCCAGAUGUAAAGCUCCUUAAUUUUGCAUGAUCGAUUUGACACCUGCUCUACCCUUGACCAUUGAUUAAGCCAAUGAAGCUCUGCGAAUCUAAUUGGAUAGGCCCGUAUCCAUGGCGGGAGACCUCUUUCCAGAUCAGCUACAGCCUCGAGAAAUUCUAAUUGCUUGCAGCAGCGUCCAUGUCAGCACCACUGGAUUUCGAUUAGUAUUCAAGACAAGUUUAUCUAGAACUUCUGACAUUUUGCGCGUUCGAGAAAAUUAUUGUACGGACGUACAUCAAUUUAUUGACAAAUAUUGGGUUUGGAAAACAUCAUUUUCACUUGCGCAACGUUGUUGUCUAUCCAGUCAAAAGAAGCAAAUUCGUUUAUUCUUACGUAAACGGCCGGUGGAAUGUUCUUCAAAGUUGAGAAGAUCGAGAUGAAUUGUCAUGACCUAUAUAGCUAAUGCAAGCUGGAAGGCUAAUGGGCUACCGGCCAACUGGUGACACCAUGUUCCCAAUUUUUAAAAUUGGAUGCGGGUGGGGAUUUAAUUUUAACGAAGUAGAUUUCUUUUCUUCUUUUUUUUUUUUUUUAAAUAUUUGUGAUGUUAAAAAUUUAAUUUUUAUCAUAAUUAAUUAAGUUAAGCUGUCACAAUCAAUUUUUAAUUAUAA
rnacentral:lncRNA from 1 species